rnacentral:rRNA from 1 species
AGAGUUUGAUCAUGGCUCAGAGCGAACGCUGGCGGCAGGCUUAACACAUGCAAGUCGAGCGGGCGUAGCAAUACGUCAGCGGCAGACGGGUGAGUAACGCGUGGGAACGUACCUUUUGGUUCGGAACAACACAGGGAAACUUGUGCUAAUACCGGAUAAGCCCUCACGGGGAAAGAUUUAUCGCCGAAAGAUCGGCCCGCGUCUGAUUAGCUAGUUGGUGAGGUAAUGGCUCACCAAGGCGACGAUCAGUAGCUGGUCUGAGAGGAUGAUCAGCCACAUUGGGACUGAGACACGGCCCAAACUCCUACGGGAGGCAGCAGUGGGGAAUAUUGGACAAUGGGGGCAACCCUGAUCCAGCCAUGCCGCGUGAGUGAUGAAGGCCCUAGGGUUGUAAAGCUCUUUUGUGCGGGAAGAUAAUGACGGUACCGCAAGAAUAAGCCCCGGCUAACUUCGUGCCAGCAGCCGCGGUAAUACGAAGGGGGCUAGCGUUGCUCGGAAUCACUGGGCGUAAAGGGUGCGUAGGCGGGUCUUUAAGUCAGGGGCGAAAUCCUGGAGCUCAACUCCAGAACUGCCUUUGAUACUGAAGAUCUUGAGUCCGGGAGAGGUGAGUGGAACUGCGAGUGUAGAGGUGAAAUUCGUAGAUAUUCGCAAGAACACCAGUGGCGAAGGCGGCUCACUGGCCCGGUACUGACGCUGAGGCACGAAAGCGUGGGGAGCAAACAGGAUUAGAUACCCUGGUAGUCCACGCCGUAAACGAUGAAUGCCAGCCGUUAGUGGGUUUACUCACUAGUGGCGCAGCUAACGCUUUAAGCAUUCCGCCUGGGGAGUACGGUCGCAAGAUUAAAACUCAAAGGAAUUGACGG